rnacentral:rRNA from 1 species
UCGAGAAUCUUCCGCAAUGGGCGCAAGCCUGACGGAGCGACGCCGCGUGUGGGAUGAAGGCCUUCGGGUUGUAAACCACUGUCGUAGAGGAGGAAGGAUCGGUGUAGAGCCGAUUUUGACCUAUUCUAGGAGGAAGGGUGGGCUAAGUUCGUGCCAGCAGCCGCGGUAAGACGAACCACCCAAACGUUAUUCGGAAUUACUGGGCUUAAAGGGUGCGUAGGCGGCGCGGAAAGUUGGAUGUGAAAUCCCU